UAGGGAAUCUUCCACAAUGGACGCAAGUCUGAUGGAGCAACGCCGCGUGAGUGAAGAAGGUUUUCGGACCGUAAAGCUCUGUUGUUGGUGAAGAAGGAUAGAGGUAGUAACUGGCCUUUAUUUGACGGUAAUCAACCAGAAAGUCACGGCUAACUACGUGCCAGCAGCCGCGGUAAUACGUAGGUGGCAAGCGUUGUCCGGAUUUAUUGGGCGUAAAGCGAGCGCAGGCGGAAGAAUAAGUCUGAUGUGAAAGCCCUCGGCUUAACCGAGGAAUUGCAUCGGAAACUGUUUUCUUGAGUGCAGAAGAGGAGAGUAGAACUCCAUGUGUAGCGGUGGAAUGCGUAGAUAUAUGGAAGAAUACAAGUGGCGAAGGCGGCUCUCUGGUCUGCAACUGACGCUGAGGCUCGAAAGCAUGGGUAGCGAACAGGAUUAGAUACCCUGGUAGUCCAUGCCGUAAACGAUGAGUGCUAAGUGUUGGGAGGCUUCCGCCUCUCAGUGCUGCAGCUAACGCAUUAAGCACUCCGCCUGGGGAGUACGGCCGCAAGGUUGAA
rnacentral:rRNA from 1 species